rnacentral:sRNA from 1 species
ACUCUCCUGAUCCCCUUUCUCAUCCUAGAUCCAAUCGGCCAGGGGGCGGCGACGGCGAGGCAGCCAGCCGCCGGCUGCGCCUUCCACGGUCCUCCGCGCGACAUCCACGAGCCUCCAAGCUGCGCCGCCACAUGCAUGCCGAGCUUCCGCGAGACCUCGACACGCCGCUGUUGUUGUCUCCAAGCAGAUCUUGCGCUCCCAUCCUCUUCUGGUCGACUACUCCACGCGGCGGCCCGCUGCUACAGCUAUUGCACGUUGUGCCAUGGCUGAUUAGUUGCCACUAAUCUUUCUGGUUUUUCAUGCUUGAUUGCUUCUUGUUGGACUAUUUUGUGCUUGAUUGCUUUUGCAUGUGUAAGUGUGAGACAGAUCUUUUGUUUUCAGCCAUCAAACUUGUUAAUUUUUGUUGUUUCCUGAUUAAUUACUUAAGAAUGGCGUGUGUUUUUGCACUUGGCAAGUGUUUAGCUAAGCAUUGCCCCUGCUGAUGUGUAUUUUUGAUGAUUUACUGAUGGUAUGUCCAUCGUUUGUACUGCAUAUUUCUGAACUUCUGAACUAACCAAAGGUUGGAGCA